rnacentral:rRNA from 1 species
GCUUUCCUACAGGGCGCAGCAGUAGGGAAUCUUCCACAAUGGACGAAAGUCUGAUGGAGCAACGCCGCGUGAGUGAUGAAGGCCCUAUGGGUUGUAAAACUCUGUUGUUAAGAAAGAAUGGUAGAAUUAGGAAAUGAGUUCUACUUGACGGUACUUUUCAAGAAAGCCACGACUAACUACGUGCCAGCAGUCGCGGUAAUACGUAGGUGGCGAGCGUUAUCCGGAUUUAUUGGGCGUAAAGCGUGCGCGGGCGGCUUAUUAAGUCUAAGAUUAAAGCCCGGAGCUUAACUCCGGUUCGUCUUAGA